AUCAAGUACCCGUGGGGAAAGUUGCAAAGAACUUUGAAGAGAGAGUUCAAGAGUACGUGAAACCAUCGUGGAGUAAUCGGAUGGAGUCGAUUAUAUUGCUGACAUUCAUACUUCGCGUUGCUGCUUGGCGUGAUGCUUCGAGGCUGCUGUCUGUGCUUCGGUAUUGCGUCGUAGUGGUAAGUGCGGUGUGCAUUUGUUGGUGAUAACGCGGAGACGCUCGUUAUCCUCUUCUGAACUGUGUAGUGUGGCCCUUGCUUCGGCUCGGUAACCUGCUAUGCGGGGAGGUUGAUAUGGGUGGUGAGUUGUAAGCAGGCUGGCCUUUGCGCUGCGUUCGUGGUGCUGUGGGCGUUGAAGUUGUGAGUGUUACAUUCGCGGCUGAUGCGUCUACGGUUGCUGCGUUCGUGGAGCGGCUGUCCUCUCCGUGGGAACGUCGACUACCCAUUUGACCCGUCUUGAAACACGGACCAAGAAGUUUAGCAAGUGCGCGAGUCAAUGGGUUGUAAACCUACUGGCGAAAUGAAAGUAAAGGCUUGCUUGCAGGCUGACAUGAGAUCCGUGCGAAUGCGCGGCGCAUCAUGGCCCCAUGCCGAUUGCUUGCAAUGGUGUGGCGGUAGAGCGUACUUGCUGAGACCCGAAAGAUGGUGAUCUAUGCUUGAGCAGGAUGAAGCCAGAGGAAACUCUGGUGGAAGUCCGAAGCGUUUCUGACGUGCAAAUCGAUCGUCUGACUGA
rnacentral:rRNA from 1 species